CAAUAGCGUAUAUUUAAGUUGUUGCAGUUAAAAAGCUCGUAGUUGGAUUUCGGAUGGGACUUGCCGGUCCGUCGUUUCGAUGUGCACUGGCCAGUCCUAUCUUGUUGUCGGGGACUAGCUCCUGGGCUUCACUGUCCGGGACUAGGAGCUGACGAGGUUACUUUGAGUAAAUUAGAGUGUUCAAAGCAAGCCUACGCUCUGAAUACAUUAGCAUGGAAUAACACGAUAGGACUCUGGCUUAUCUUGUUGGUCUGUGAGACCAGAGUAAUGAUUAAGAGGGACAGUCGGGGGCAUUCGUAUUUCGUUGUCAGAGGUGAAAUUCUUGGAUUUACGGAAGACGAACAUCUGCGAAAGCAUUUGCCAAGGAUGUUUUCAUUGA
rnacentral:rRNA from 1 species